rnacentral:rRNA from 1 species
ACGCUCGACACCUACGGAGGCAGCAGUGGGGAAUAUUGCACAAUGGGGGGAAACCCUGAUGCAGCAACGCCGCGUGAAGGAAGACGGUUUUCGGAUUGUAAACUUCUGUUCUUAGUGAAGAUAGUGACGGUAGCUAAGGAGCAAGCCACGGCUAACUACGUGCGAGCAGCCGCGGUAAUCUGAGCGGGCUGGCAAGGC